UCAGCCCAAGACAGAAAAUGGCAGAUUUCAUCAAACAAAUGACAUCUGAGGACUUCCUAGCCCAGAUCUGCUGCACAUAUGACAGCUGCCACCUGGUCAAUCUAGCUGCUUAAGAUUUUGUAUUUGCACCAUCAACAUAGUAUCCAAAGUCGCUGGCUUAUAGCCUGAAAUAAGCAAGUCUGUCCCACUGCAAUGUUUUAACGUGAAUACGUUCUGCGUCAGUGCCAAGCUAACCAGCUAUCUCCAGACGCCUGACCUAACCCAGAUCCUGUCAGCGGCAGUCAUGUGAAUUCUGGCCAUCACGUGGGUCAGGAGAAGCAGAGAAGGCGACUCAGCUGACACGCUCUGACGUCUCUUGAGACCAGAGAGGACGAGACAGCCGGCUGCAGAACCCAUCGCGUGACAUCUUCCAAGGUACCAAGGCUCCCAGGGAACUUUGGACAAGAGCAAGGGAGGGACAAUAGCACCCUUGGCAUUAUUAUUAUUUGCAUUGCAGCAGUUCCCAUGCAGGCCAGGGGCUCCCUUGUGCUAGGUGAUGUACCCAGAACGGAAGAGAAUCUCUGCCCCAAACAGAAACAGACAAAUAAGUAGCUGUUGAGAAGCUGAACAUUUUUUCCUCUCUCCACGCUGUCACAUUGUCCAUUGUCCAUCCCACAGGAGGCUGCAUCUCAGGGUUCUUAGCUCCAUUGUUUGUGAAGCCUUUGGCAUGAGACGUGCCAACAGGAAAUGCAAACCACUUUCCCUUUGUUUAUUUUUGUGAUCUAUUUGCAGAGAAGGAAGGAUUCCCACGCAGCGAUUGCUCUAGUGCAAGGGGGUGUGAUGUUUUAUUAUUGCCAUCGUGCGUAUUUUAGCUGAGCGCUUGGUGUGCGUCACUCUUCUCUGGGGCACUGCAAGAAAGCGUGGAACCUAUUUCAACGUCCUGCCCGGGCCUCAACUCAGAAAGUGAAGACGUCCUCAAUAUACAACCCUCUCCCAAAACCAGUGGCAAAAGGUCUGGCUCCAAUUACUGGAGUCCACAGGGGGGAGGGGAAAAUGGUUACACAAGAGCAAUACAAAAAUAGAUAUGGGAGAAACCGAAUCCGCUGAGCAAUGGGAGGUCAUUUAAUAGGAGAUGCCUGUGACUGUGUGUACUACCACUGGAAAAUACCCCAGCUCCAGCUCAGGUCACCUCUGUGGCUCUAUUUAUACUGAUGUAAUUAGCAAUGCCAUAUUCAGGUAGCACAGCUCAAGGGAAAGCUCACACAGGGAGAGCCAUUCUGUUUGGUCCCUGCAUAUGGACUUGUACAAA